rnacentral:rRNA from 1 species
UACAGAGGGUGCGAGCGUUAAUCGGAAUUACUGGGCGUAAAGCGUGCGUAGACGGUUAUUUAAGUCGGGUGUGAAAGCCCCGGGCUCAACCUGGGAAUUGCAUUCGAGACUGAAUAGCUAGGGUACGGUAGAGGGAAGUGGAAUUUCCGGUGUAGCGGUGAAAUGCGUAGAUAUCGGAAGGAACCUCAGUGGCGAAAUCGACUUCCUGGACCAGUACCGACGUUCAGGCACGAAAGCCUGGGGAGCAAACAGG